UCCUCCGUGGCGCAAUUGGCUAGCGCGUUCGACUGUUACUGGCUCACGCAGGGCAUCGAGAGGUUGACAGUUCAAGCCUGUCCGGGGGAG
rnacentral:tRNA from 1 species